rnacentral:rRNA from 1 species
UACGUAGGGUGCAAGCGUUAAUCGGAAUUACUGGGCGUAAAGCGUGCGCAGGCGGUUUUGUAAGUCUGUCGGGAAAUCCCCGGGCUUAACCUGGGAAUGGCGAUGGAGACUGCAAGGCUAGAGUUUGGCAGAGGGGGGUAGAAUUCCACGUGUAGCAGUGAAAUGCGUAGAGAUGUGGAGGAACACCGAUGGCGAAGGCAGCCCCCUGGGUCAAGAUUGACGCUCAUGCACGAAAGCGUGGGGAGCAAACAGG